UUUUGGAAGGAGACGAAUCUUACUGUGGAUUAUAUAAAAAGUACAACCUUAUGGCAUUUAACUGAACUAUAACUGUUAUGCUUCAAUCUCAUCUUGGUAAAGUGUAAUACGUUAAAACCCAUACUUUCUUCAUGUAUUCGUUUUUAAAUGGACCCCAGAUGGCCAUCAAAAUCAAAGCCUUAUGUAUCUGGAGCUGAUCACAAUCGAAAAAUGCAAAAAAUUGGCAUAAUAGCAGUGUCUAUUGUUUUUAUCUUUGUAUUGAUUGGUGGGUGUUUUGUGUUUAGUCCUAGUUUGGUUUAUAAUGUUGAGAAAAGUAGUAGUUCAUACUUUACAGUUGUAGUGGAUUGUGGAAGCUCUGGUACAAGAGUUAAUAUUUAUGAGUGGAAAUUACAAGGUAGAUUGAAUAAUAAUGGAGAUUUGCCAAUUUUGCUGAAUACUUAUCCAGGGAACUUGACAAAGAGUGAUGGUUGUCAAUACCAUUGUAUGCAAACUGAGCCGGGUUUGGACAAAUUUGUUGGAAAUGCUUUGGGCGUUAGAUCAUCAUUGGAUCCUUUGCUUCGUUGGGCGGAGCGGUUGGUGCCACGGGAAAGACGGGAAUUCACUCCCAUUUUUGUUCUGGCUACUGCUGGAAUGAGGAAAUUACCAGUUGAGGAUGCUAGAGUGGUUUUGGAAGACGUCGCUGAUGUUCUAAAGGAUUUUGGUUUUUUAUAUAAGAAAGAUUGGAUUAGGGUGUUGAGCGGGAAGGAAGAGGCGUAUUAUGGUUGGAUUGCUCUAAAUUACAAGAUGGGGGUGUUGGGUAAUUUGUUAGGAUCACACACAUUGGGUCUUCUUGAUUUAGGGGGUUCUUCAUUGCAGCUAGUGGUUGAAGUUGAUGAAUUGAAAAUUGAUAAUCAUGUCUUUAAUUCAAAGAUCGGUUCACCUGAGCAUCAGAUAGUACGAUACUCGUUACCAGCAUUCGGUUUGAAUGAAGCAUUUGACAGGACGAUUGUUAUGCUUAGUCAUACACAAGCACUUAAAGAAAGUCCUGGCGGCGCCUUUAAAGUGAGACAUCCGUGUCUUAAUUCUGGUUUUGUGCAAAACUAUACAUGCCUUAGUUGCUUUCAGAGAGAGCCUAUAAGUUCAGAUUUAGGAAGUCACAUCAAUGCAAAUGCUAUACUUCUACUUGGAGAACCUAACUGGGAGAUGUGCAAAUCACUUACAAGGGCAGUUGCCACAAAUUCGAGUAGAGGUGAUUGGUCUUUAGUCCAUGAUCACGCAAGUUGCACUGGCUUGCGUUCAUAUGGCGGCAAUGAAUUGCUCAAUUUGAUGUUAAAUGCAAGCUCAGUUACUCGUUAUCAUGCAUUGUCUGGAUUUUUCGCUGUCUACCAGACGUUAAAUUUGAGUCCAAGAGCAAACUUGACGAGAAUGUGGGAGGCGGGUCAACAGUUAUGUUCCCAAUCAUGGGAAGAUCACCAAGGUAUUGGAGGAGCAUAUUGUUUCCGGGUUCUGUACAUGAUAUCACUGAUUCAAGAUGCUCUGUGUCUGGGUAAGCACGAGAUCGUAUUUGGUCCUGGAGAUGUUUCUUGGACAUUAGGAGCUGCUCUAAUUGAAGGGCAAUACCUAUGGUCUGAUACUACAAAAUACCAAUAUGGCAUUUUCUACCUAAAACAUAGCAAGAUGCUCUCUUCUUCAGUUGCUCUAUUUCUUCUACUUUUAUGCCUUCUAUUGAUUGUUUAUAGGAGUCAAAUUAAGCUGCCUAUGCCAGGAAGGAAGCCAACUCCUUCAAGGGCAUCCUUGCCCUCUUACAUAUAUUCCAAACGCCAGCCUAACUAAUCGCGCAUGACUAUGUCACAUCCUCGCUCCCAAGGGUUAGCUCAAUUGGCAAAGGUUGAGGGAUACAUGUCUUAGCUCACAGGUUUGAGCCCUGCGCCAAGCGAAAUAACUCUGGUUUUUAAGUGAAGAAGAGUAGAGCAGCGGAGCGGACCCAUCAUCUCUGAGUUUAAAAGGCUGCGGUUGGCCCAAAGGGUCGGCUCCAAACAGAUUUCUCGCUCAUAAAAAAAUGUGUCACAUCUCCAUAUUCAAGGCCGGGGAUAAUUUUGUCAAGACAACAAUGGUCAAUUGAUACAAACCUCAAAAUCAUUAAACUCUGAACAAGUUCAGUAGGCACGCAAGGAGAAUAUUUCUUGAUGUCUUCAGAGUGAUGCUGGGAAUGGUCCACUUGCAUUUUCUUGCUUGUUGCCUUAUUACCCAGCUCAAGCAGUGUGGUGUUUUUUAAGGUAUGUGAAAGAUUUUGAUGCAGAAAAUCCUGUUGCUAUUUUGUAGU